UGGCGGACGGGUGAGUAAUGUCUGGGAAACUGCCCGAUGGAGGGGGAUAACUAUUGGAAACGGUAGCUAAUACCGCAUAACGUCGCAAGACCAAAGAGGGGGACCUUCGGGCCUCUUGCCAUCGGAUGUGCCCAGAUGGGAUUAGCUAGUAGGUGGGGUAACGGCUCACCUAGGCGACGAUCCCUAGCUGGUCUGAGAGGAUGACCAGCCACACUGGAACUGAGACACGGUCCAG
rnacentral:rRNA from 1 species